AGUUCCUGAAGCAUGUGUAUCUAUCAUGAAAAUACCAGUUAGUUACAGUAGGAAGAACUAUAGUAGUAUACUUGGCUCAACCAUAGGACUUUAAUGCAGAAAAUUUUUAAGUAAUCAGCUUAUUUUUUUCUUUACUCGUACUGUGGCUCCCGAGUCUCUCCAGAUUUAAUCAGUCUUUCAAACUUUGCUCUCCUGUCAUGGUAGACCCAAGGAACAUUUGACCUGUGUCAGCGCUGUGCUUCUAAUAACCUUAUGUUUUAAGUAUUUGAAAAUAAAAGCAGACUGACAGUGUAAUUUCAUUAAGUAUAUCACUACUGGCUUUCAUACAAUUUUUUUAUUAGAAUUUUUGUCCUUUUGUUGGUUGUCUUGAUGACUUUUCGGUGGUAACUGUGAUUUGAAAAUGCAGAGAAGUUCAAACAAGAAAAACAACUAGUACUUUCAGUAUCUAUAAUUUGACUUUUUAAUGUGUCUAGAGAAUCAGCGUCUGUGGUUCUUUGGGUAAUUUAAGUUUCCAGUAGCUUCAUAGAAUCGCCACAGAAAGCAUCUUAAGAGUUUUAUGUGAAUUGGAUGAUCUUUUGGGACCAUUUAAAGAUAACUGAAAUUUUGCAUUUUAAAAUUUCACUUACCUUCUCAACAUAAUUAAGUUGAAAUGAGGGGUGCUGGCAGUUUUUUUUCCCUUACUGUUCCAGUAAAAUAAGUCUUUUAAAGUUUUUGUGUUUAUUUUUAAUACUGUUGUCUUAAAAAUGGAAGAGCUUUGAAAUCAGGUGUUCUCUUGCCAACUCUGGUUAGCUUCUAAAGAGAAUUUUGCUUUCUGAAUAAUUUCUUUUUUUGGAUAUUCAGUCUUUUAUUCUGGAAGCAAUCUUAGUAAUCUAGGUGCUAACAUCUUGUUAUGUUCACAUCCUAUUAGCAGUCCUUUGGGUGUGCGUAUUUUCUCCUUGGCAGCUUUUGACUGUACAUAUAUGAUGGUUUCAUUAUUGACAGUUGUAAUAAAUUUCAUUUUCAAUAGGAAAGAGGAGCUUCCCUUUGCUCAUCUUCUUGUCUCCUUCCUAAUAUAUGAAGAUGUUUACGGUUAAGAUUUUGAGGUUUUUAAGGUUUGCUAAAUAGCCAGUUUGUCUUAAGAUGAAGAAAAACUGAAAAUGGGUGUGGGGUGUCAGUGCGUGAGAUAUUUUAGAUGUGGGGCUUAUCAGCUUUUUCCCACUCUUUGAACUAUACUUUGGAGUUGUAGUAAGAGAUGUAGGCAAAAUGCCCAGAUUUUUUUGUUUUUUUCUUAUGGGAGAGGGGAGCGGUCAGGCUCUUCCACUGUUUUCCUGUAGAAGGUGGGGCUCAGAUCUCCUUUUUGAUGUCUGGAAUAGAACCUAGGGAAGAAAACAUAGGCCUUGGUUUUUCUUGGAAACCACCCUGUGAGUGUUUCAGAUAUUAAAAGGGUAAUGGUGAAAUGGUAUUUGGAAAAAAAUAAUCCUGAGGCUCUGAGGAAUCAGAGAAUAAGCAUCUGUUGGCCGACUUAAACGUGUGAACAAAUAGGGUAUGGAAGGGCAAGUAGGAUGUGAAGACUUCUUGGUACUUUUGCGACUGGUUGGCCCAGUUGUGGUAGGUCCUGGUGAGCACCAGGUGCGUUUACGCUCUUGCAUUUGUGCAGAUUCCCUAUUCUGACAAGUAGUGUUGCGUGUGCAUUCCUUUGCUCACAGAGGGGGCACUCUUUGGAAACACCACUUUUCAGAAAUAAUAAGAAGCGUUUGCCGUCUAGUAGAUCCCGACUCGUGUUAGCGUUUUUAAUGAGUGCUUUUAAGCCAUGUGCCGGCCACUAGAGUAGGGUCUUUACACAGGGCAUUUUAUGCACUCUGCACCUUAAACUGAAUUGCAGAUUGAAUUGUAUAAUUGAGGUUUUCCAAGAACAGCGAUGAACUUGUCUGAAUGUAUUUCCUUUCUACUCUGCCUAUGUAGAUAUUUUACAUUAACUUGAUUUAGGAUUGUAGUUCUUAACCUUUAGGAGCAUUUGAUGACCCCUAUGGACCUGCUCCCUGUGUGUGCAUACAGCAACAUUUUGCGUAAAGUUGCAGGUGGUUCACACCCCCGAGUCUGUACAUGAACCUCAAGUUAACAAUGCCUGGCUUAGAAAAUUGAAAACAGAAAAGAGAGUGUUCACUACCACCCUUUCAAAAUGUGGGAACCCGAGGAUGAUGGAACUUUAUUUAAAAUCUGGUAUCCUGAACUAAUUCGUUUUAAAACGUGGAGUUUGUUGUGGGCAUGUCUUUAUUUUGAUGACCUAGUCGGUCCUUUUCAUUUUUUAAUGCUUACUUUUCUGUUUCUCAUUAAGUUACUCUCCUGAAGUUAUGAAGUGUUUUCAUGAUUCUUAAAAACCACCCACUGCUGUCCAGUGGAUUCCGACUCAUAGCGACCCUGUAGGACAGAGUAGAACUGCCCCCUAGGGUUUCAGUGUGCCACCAGGGCUUCUCUUUAAACAAAGGCACGCUAAAUUCACGGAACAUUGGUAUUCAUAUUAAGAACAUCAGGUAAUCUCUGUAGUAACUUUACUACUUUAAAAUACAUGUAGAUGUUGUUAAUAUAAAUGCCUAGCCUGGUAUAAUAUAUUCUUAUUUAAGCAGAUUAGGUGGAACUUAUAAAAAGAGUUGAAUACAUUUAUAAAAAGGACAUUUGAAGCAACUUUAUGAAAUUUUUGAUGUGGAUAACCAUGUGGUUUUUUGAAGACUGGUGGCUGGCACCUGUCCUCUUGAAGAGCAGUUGAGUUUAUCACUUAUUAAAGCUAAUUAAGUCUGAACUUCGAAAUAGGUUGUUUUCAUGCUCUUUUGAGUUGAGCCAACUUAGUCUCUACUAAUGCAAGUGUUCUGAAUUAAUUUAAGCAGUGAAUCACACUUUUCUGUGUACUUACUCAGCUCCUAUGUGCUGGUUCGUAGAUGGUUUGAUUCAUUCUGAUAGGUUUUAUAUAUAGGACUUAAGGUAUUUACUAAUAUUAUCAUCUGGGGUAUAUAAAAUAUAUCAUUAAGGGAAUGUGGGGCCCUGGUGGCACAGUGGUUAAACGUUUGGCUGCUAACCAAAAGGUUGUUAGUUCAAAUCCACCAGCUGCUCCUUGGAAACCCUAAGGGACACUUCAGCUCUGUUCUGUAGGGUCACCGUGAGUUUUAGUUGACUCGAUGGCAACAGGUUUAAUUUUUUUUUUUUUUUGGUGUGAUGAGAAGAACAGCAUCUGGAGUUGGAAAACCUAGGUUCAAGUUCAGACUGCCAGUUACCUCCUAUAAGUCAUUUAUACCGUUUGUACCUGUUUCUUAAACUAUAAAAUGUGAUUAUGGUUGUUGUGUACUGUUGAGUUGAUAGUACCAGCUAAGUUCUGAGUCUCAAGGAUAAACUGUACCUGGCUGUGCAGAAGUUAUUUAGCAUGAA